rnacentral:lncRNA from 1 species
GCAAACACCCAGGUACCUUGUUGAUCUUCUUAUUAAAUAUUGUAUGAAUUGUACAUUCUCUAUAUUCUAUGUUUGAUUGUGGAAUUUUCAUAAAAGAUUAUUGUGAUUGGAUGCAAAUGCGAAAAAACUAGAAUAAAAAGAUUAGUUGAUCAAUACGGCGAUAAUAAAUAGAUAUGGUGUACUUUUAUUUAUUAAUGUUUUAAUGAGUACAAUUGGUUUAUAAUAUGUUAUUCAUACUUAUAUAAAACAACAUACACUUGUGUAUAUUAAAUCACUCAAGGUGAGAUUGGAAAUGGAUUCAAGCGGGUGGAGGGCAUAACCAUGAGAGGGUAGGCCUUUGGAACUGUAAAUCCAGGCCGUUCAGUCAUAUCAACUACCUUAGGUGUCACCCCGUUAUCAUUGCACGCUGGUUUCCAAUCAAAGCACUGAAUCAACAAAGCCAUUAUCGUGGGGACAAGGUGCACAACUAAUGACAUUCCUGGGCAUCCCCUUCUUCCAGUACCAAAUGGAAGAAGAAUAAAAUGUUGGCCCUUGACAUCAACCAAAUUUUGAUUAUCAUCACCUUCACUGCCAGACAUGAACCUUUCUGGUUGAAACUCAAGUGGGUUUUUCCAAUUCUUUGGGUCUCUACAUAUAGAGCAAUUAUUUAUAAACAGAAUAGUUUUUGCUGGGAUAUCAUAGCCUGCAAUGUUGCAGUCUUCAGUUGAUUCUCUAUCAAAGAUAGGAAUUGGAGGGUGAAGUCUAAGUGUUUCUUUAAAUAUGGCUUGUAGAUAUGGAAGAUCUUGAAUAUCUGAUUCCUUCACCAGCCUAUUUUUCCCCACAACUGAAUCUAUUUCUUCUAUGGCUUUUUGCAAAAUAGUAGGAUGAUUGAUGAGUUCAGACAUUGCCCAUUCCACAACAAUCCCAGAUGUAUCAGUUCCUGCUGUAAGGAUAUCCUACAAAACAAAGUGAAGUUAGAUUUGGAGACUUAAGAGUGCAUGAAUAUUUAAAAUAAGUAUGAACACGUGAUAAGGCGUAUAUGAUGAGGGCGAUGAGGAUCAAAUAACUUACAAACAUGAAAGCCUUGAUGUUUUCUCUUGUCAAUCUAAUUUUUGAUUCUUCAUCCUCCAGUGUAUCCAGCAAGAUAUUGAGAAAGUCAUUAAUUUUGUGAUCACCACCCACAAAACUCAUAUUAGUUUUCUCCUUUUUCUCAUUUCUAACUUCUUCGCGCUUCUUCAUAAUUGCUUCAAGUAAAGCAUCAGAUCUCAAGUGAAUGUUCUUUGCUCUUUUUCGAAUUCCUUGCAGAUCAAUAUUUCUCAGAAUUCCAAUGAAAUCUGAUAAAUUGAACUGUGCAAGAAUCUCCAUGGAAUCUCGAACUAAAUUUCUAAUUUCCUUAGCCUGCUCAUCCUCCCCAGAACACCUAAUGUUCCACAUCAUUCGUGUGAUUAUAUUAUUUGAUACCUUGGUCACUUCUUGGGAUAAAUUUACAAUAGUCCCAGUUCUCGCUUUGUUCAAUAGAAAAUGUAUCAACUGUGAGGCCUCAUCAAAUCGAAUGUCUUUUAGUUGUGCGAGUGUUUGAUCACCAAGUAGUUCAGAAGCGACAAUCUUUUUCAUGAAUUUCCAGUAAGAGCCAUAAGGAGCAAAGACAAAAUCAACGGAGUUAUAAGUAAGAAGAUUGAUUGCAAUAUUUACUGGACGUGAAGCAAAGGUGUGGCCGUUGGUAAUGAGGAGUUCUUUUGCAAGCUCGGGAGUAGACGCGAUUAUGCAAAUGACUGAACCAAGGCGAAGAUGGAUCAAGGGACCAUAGCGCGCACAGAGAUUAUGAAAGGUUUGGUGAGGGGUGUUGUUGAGGAGGUGAAGGUGUCCAAUGAUUGGUAGUUCUUUGGGACUUGGUGGGAGUCUGGUAACGCACUUUUGGGUUUUUGGGGACCAAAACUUUCGACCUAAAAGGGUAGUUAGGACGAAAAUGCUGAUAUAAAAUAAUAUUUUAAGAAUCAUGAUUUGAAAAGUAAGGAGAUGAAUGACCGACCUUUCAAAAUCUGGCCUACUACAACACUACUUAUACAAAUCAUGGUAAGGUUACAAUAUAUUGGAUAUAUAUCAGACUAUCAAUUGCUUUCAUCUUUAUUUUUUCUUUUAACGAAUUAUAAUUUUUUCGUAGUACAGUAUAGUUUUAUGUCAUUUGCUUGCAGUUAGUAAUGAAAGGAUAUGUAGUUGGUUAUGAGUGUGACAUCUUGUCUAACUUGUUCUUUUGUGAAGCGAUAGUAUGGUUCACAUUGAUUAGAGAAUGUUUGGUUGUUAUAACAAUUUCGAAUCCUAUUUGAAUAUUUUUGCAUAAAGCCGCAAAUGAAAAAAACUUGACUACAUGUUUGCCAACUGCAUAUCACGAAUGGCUAAUUACUAUUUUUUCUUGUGGUUAUACGUACAACUAAUAGUAAGGUAUUUAUAAUGAUGAAAUAAAUGCUUUUACAGUUGAUAGAUGCAUCCAUGUGUUAUUUAAAUUUUUUAUAUGUGAUAUGCAUUUGGACUGAGUUGCUUGAUAUCUCAGCUCAUUCUAAUAGGAAAUAGUAAAAGAGAAGGCCUGGGCUGGUUUAACCGUGAACAGAGAACAUCCUAACACCUUUAGUACAAAGGAUUGAAUUUCACUUAAUCGUGGAAACAACAGAAUAAGCAAAUUAGCAACACCUAGGUACAUUGUUGAUCUUCUUAUUAUAUAUUGGUGCUUAGAGCGUUAGACUUGUGCAUAAUGCUACUUGAGUAAUUAUAUGAAUUUUUCAUGCUACAUCUGCUUUGGAUUUUUCUUAUCACUGAAUAUAAUAAAAAAUUGAAAAAUAUUCUUCAUGAAUUUGGCUAAUUUUUAUACCACUACCAAAUAAGAAAAGACAAAUUUUCUCCCAGGAUAUUAAACAUAAAAGAUUAUUGUGACAAGCUGCAAUCGGAAAAACUAGUAACAAAUAGCAAUUAGUUUUAUUGAUCGAUGAAUAGACAUGUACUUUUAUUCAUUGAUAUUGUAAUGAGUACAAUUGGUUUAUAAUGUGUUACUCCUUUUGUAAAACAACAUACACUUGGAUUAAAUCACUCAAGGUGAGAUUGGAAAUGUAUUCAAUCAGGUGGAGGGCACAACCAUGAGAGGGUGGGUCUUUGGAACUGUUAAUCUAGGCCUUUCAGUCAUAUCGACUAGCUUAGGUAUCACUACACGUUAGUUUCCAGUUAAAGCACUGAAUCAACAAAGCCAUAAUCGUUGGGAUAAGGUGAACAACCAAUGAUAGUCCUGGGCAUCCCCUUCUUCCAGUACCAAAUGGCAGAAGAUUAAAAUGUUGGCCCCUGACAUCAGCCAAAUUUAGAUUAUCAUCACCUUCAUUGUCAGACAUGAACCUUUCUGGUUAAAAUUCAAGUGGGUUUUUUCAAUAUCUUGGGUCUCUACAUAUAGACCAAUUAUUUAUAAACAGAAUAGUUCUUGCUGGGAUAUCAUAGCUUGCAAUGUUGCAGUCUUCAGUUGAUUCUCUCUCAAAGAUAGGAAUGGUGUUGAACUAUAUGCAGUGAUUAAUUAAAUCCUAACAACGCCAACAACCCACAACCUAGAUAUUCGUGAGAACACCUCCUUUGCAAUACAAGAUCCGUUUUGUCAAUGAAGUCAAAGAUUACCAAACAAUAAACAAUAGUAUAAGAAGAACAAAACAAUAAAGAACAAUAACACCAAGAUAUACGUGGUUCGGCAAUGCCUACCUCCACGGGGAACAAUGAGAAGAUUUCACUAUAAGGAAAGAAACACCGAUUACAAUAAUCUCCCUAGUAUCUUUCUCAAGAUCUUAAUCUCUCACCUUAAACCCAAUACACCCUUGGCUCCCAAAGUUCUCUCUCUUUUACUCUAUCUAUCUCUAUGUUUCUAUUGUUUUCUACUCUUUUGUCUUGCCUUAUUGUCUUGUAAGAUGUUUCUAUUGUUUUCUACUCUUUUGUCUUGCCUUAUUGUCUUGUCUUACAAAUACCAAGUUACUUGGGUAUUUAUAGCCCAUGGAUAGAAAUCAAAUCCAUAUAGAAUUACUAAUUCAAACUAGAGAUAAAUAGGAAACCGAGUCCAAAUAGAACUCCUGCACAUGUAUGGUUUUCUUAACCAAUAUAGGAAACUGAUCCUAUGGAUCAUACCUCUUAUAAGGUAUGAUCCUGUGCACCCAACUAUGGCGAGCUAAUAUACAACAAUCUCCACCUUGGCGAGCCAUCGACAAAAAAAACAAGAUCAUUGUAGCUUAAAUUUCUUCAAGCACCGUCACAUUGGCAAGAAUCCUUUUGCCUCAACGCACCUCAAGUGAGGAGGUGCUCCACCCAAUCUUUAGCAUGUAGAAAGAUUGAGCAAGUUCAAACAAUGUCUGAACUUCUCAACUGAAACCGGCUUAGUAAGACAAUCUGAAGCAUUCUCAUCUGUGUGAACCUUCUCAACUGUAAUUUCACCUGAGUCCAACCAAUCCCGAAUGCGAUGAUAACGAAUAUCAAUAUGUUUUGUUCUUGCAUGAAACAUUUGAUUCUUCGCAAAACAAAUAGCACUCUGACUGUCACAUCUUAUCAUGAUAGAAUUUUGAUCUAACCCGAAUGUGCUUACUAAUCCCUUCAGCCAAAUAGCUUCCUUGCAAGCUUCUGUUACCGCCAUAUACUCCGCUUUAGUAGUUGAUAGAGCAGUAACCGUUUGGAGCAUUAAUCUUCAACUAACCGGUCCUCCACCAUAAGUGAAGACGUACCCUGUGGUGGAUAUUCGCUUAUCUAAAUCUCCUGCAUAAUCAGCAUCCACAUAACCUGAAACACAUGCUUUCCCUUGUUGUCUUUCAAACAAGAUACCCAACGUCUUAGUGCCCUUCAGAUACUUGAAAAUCCAUGUCACAGCUUUCCAGUGUGGCUUUCCUGGAUUCGCCAUGUAUCUCGAUACUACACUUAGUGCUUGAGCUAAAUCAGGUCUUGUGCAUACCAUUGAGUACAUGAGACACCCUACUGCGCUUGCAUACGACUUCUUCUUCAUCUCUUCCACUUCAUCAUCUGUGGAAGGACAUUGACUUUUGUUUAAAACAAAACUGUUGUUCAAAGGAGUUGACACAUGAUCUGCAUCAAUCAUAUUGAAGCGCUCAAGUACCUUUUGAAUGUACUUGACUUGUGACAGCCAUAUCUUUCCAGCUUUCCUGUCUCUCCUUAUCUCCAUACCUAGGAUCUUCUGUGCAGGACCAAGACCCUUCAUGUCGAAUUCCUUGCUUAACAACGUCUUCAGCUCCUUAAUUCUAGACAUAUCCCGACAAGCAAUAAGCAUGUCAUCUACAUAAAGUAGCAAUAUGAUCACCAUCCCAUCAUCAAACACAUGAGUGUGCACACAACAAUCAUAGUCACAUCUUCUAUACCCAAUGUUCAGCAUAUAAGAGUCGAAACGUUUGUACAACUGUCUUGAAGAUUGCUUGAGCCCGUAAAGAGACUUCUUCAACCUACAAACCAGAUUUUCCUUACCAGCUUCAACAAAACCCUAAGGUUGAGCCAUGUAGAUGACUUCCUCUAAUUCACCAUGGAGAAAAGCAGUUUUGACAUCUAACUGCUCAAGCUCCAUAUCCUGCUGAGCAACCAGUGAUAGUAACACUUUAAUAGAAGUAUGUUUCACUACCGGAGAGAAAAUUUCAUCAUAAUCAACUCCUUCCUUCUGUGAGUACCCCUUCGCCACCAAACGUGCUUUGAACUUUGGUGGUUCUUUCUCAUUCAUUCCUUCCUUCUUCCUGUAAACCCAUUUACAGCCAACAAUUUUUCUUUUUGCAGGUUUAGGAACCAACUCCCAAACGGAAUUCUUGUAUAGAGAUUCCAUCUCUUCAUCCAUAGCCUCAAUCCACUCUUCUCUUUCGUUACUUUCAACUGCUUCACGAUAAGAAGUAGGAUCACCUUCACUAAUGCUUAAAGCAUAAUGAACUUCUUCCUCGAACCCAAGUCUAAUAGGUGCUUUGACUUGUCUUUGGCCCCGGUUCUUUGCUAUGCUGUAAGGUUGUUGCUUAUCUUUAUUAGAUUCAACCUCCUUUUCACACUGUUGUUGUUCUGGCCCAUCCUCUUCAACCCCUGCAUCUGACUCCUCCACCUGAAUAGGAGUCUCCCUGUUGGAUACCUUGGUAAGAGGAGAUAUCUCUGUAGUUGCUUUCUUAACAAUAGUGUUUUUCUCACCAUUCUUCAUGUCUUGAUUCAUAGGCAUAGUCUUCUCAUCAAACACAACAUCUCUACUAAGGAUUUUCUUUCGGUUCACUGGAUCCCAUAACUUAUAACCCUUCACUCCCUUCUCGAAGCCGAUGAAAAUGCAUUCAUGAGAUUUGGUUUUAAGUUUGGUUCUCUCAUCACUAGGAAUAAGAUCAUAUGCAUUACAUCCAAAUACCUUCAAAGUAGAGUAGUCUACCGGUUUACCUGACCAUACCUCUUCUGCACAUCUGAAAUCAAACAUCUUGGAUGGUGAACGAUUAACCAAGUGACAAGCAUGGUUAAGUGACUCGCCCAAAACAUCUCUUGUAGACCUGCAUGAAACCUCAUGCACCUUUCUUUAUUCAUAAAAGUUCUAUUCAUCCUUUCUGCAGCUCCAUUCUGUUGGGGAUUCUUCUUCACGGUAAAAUGCCUUGCAAUACCUUCAUCUUUGCAGUACUGUAGAAACUUCAUAUCCUUAUAUUCACCGCCAUUGUCAGUUCUUAGAUACUUGAGUUUUCUGCCUGUUUGAUUCUCUACCUCUGCCUUCCACUCCUUGAAUUUAGUGAAAACUUCGGAUUUCUCCUUCAUGAAGUAGACCCAAACUUUCCUCGAAAAAUCAUCCAUGAAAGUGACAAAGUAGCGAGCUCCACCUUUUGAUUGAGUAGGUGAAGGCCCCCACACAUCUGAGUGAAUAUAGUUAAGUACUUCUGUACUUCUGUUCUUUGUAUCUGCAGCUUUGAAGUGUACUUUAGUUUGUUUUCCCAUAAUACAAUACUUGCAGAACUCAAGUUUACACUCCUACACCCUUGAUAUAUUGGUUAUUGUGUAUCAAAAUAUUAGAUUAAGAGAUUUUCCUUCUUGUGCCUGUAUAAAUUGAAGAUCAAAGUAGACAAAUAACAAGCAAGGGUCGUACCCACCUCAGAGGGGGAGAUCUUAGCUCAAACACAAUUAAGAAUAAUAAUUAAGAAACACCAAGGAAUCAAUAAUAAAAGUUUGGUAAUUGAUUCUACUUCCUACAGGCAAUAAUAAUAAUAAAUCCUAACUUAAGAAUAUGGAAGAUAUGGAAAAAAAAGAUUAUAUGAUGACAUAUGGGGAGUAGUAGGUUUCCACAAUCUAGGUUAUGCAAUUAUAUCAUGUUGUUCUUCAUAUUCAAUCUAUAACAACUAACAAGUCACCUCUCAGUUAUUCCUAUUAGUUAUUAAUACCAAUAAUAAUCAAAUCCUCACCUCUCAGCUAUUGAAUCUCAUUAAAACGGGAUUCUAUUAUGCAUGCUAUUGAAUAUGCUUCAUUAAUCAAAUCCUCACCUCUCAGCUAUUGAAUCUAAUUAACUCCACAUAUUAUUCACAAUUAAAUCCCCACCUCUCAGCUAUUGAAUUUAAUCAUGAAAGGGUUCCAAUAAAAUAUACAUAUUACAAACAUGCAGUAAUCACCUCUCAGCUAUUUCACUACACAUCUACAAUAAAUAUAAUACUAUUAUCAAAACUAGGUCUCCCUAAAUUCUAACAAUAAUAUUUAACACCAUGGAUAACAAUAGCAUACAAAUAAUCAUACUUACCUCAUAUCGCGAAUUAGAGAUAAGUAAGCAUUAAGAACCUUGAAUCACAAUAAAUAAGAAGAAACAACAUAAUAAUCAUACAUCACCUAGAAAGCUUCCACCUUCCGCCCAUGAUGAUUUAGUUACUCAUACCAAUGGAACAAAUAAUAAAUUAAAGAACAUCAUAAUUGAAAUCAUGGAUUGAUUUUGAAUUGAGUACAAAAGUUGAUCUUGAAGUGGUGGCUAAAAACUUACCUUAGCUAAAAGAUAAUAAACCCUAGUUACAACUUCUCUUAAAUAUCUAUUACAUAGAAGAAUACUUGCAUGCAAAGUCUUCAUAACUUGAUCAAAUUCGUGGCAGCUGCUGUUGGCCCCACAGAGGGAUUAGGCAAUCAGCAAAACUUAAUCCUCUUGGGCUAGAAUUGUAGCUUGGGCCGAGACCUUCAGUUUGAUAUGUCAUGGGCCCCAAUCGGACUUCUGGUUCUUCUUGUAGAGCCUUUUUAAGAUCAAUACCAAAAAUAGGAAGUCCGGUCCACGUGAGUCAACAGAUUUGACCCAAAGUCUUCAGAAGUCAACAGUUGACCGAAAGUCAACUUAGGUAAGCAGCAGUUGACCCAAAAGUCAACCCUUGACCAAAAGUCAACCAAAGUCAAAGUUGACAAAAAAGUCAACCUUAGUCAAAAGUGACCAAAAAGUCAACCCGACCUAGUUGACCACUGGGUGCCCUUAGCAGAUUCCGCGGGUGCAAAUAUCCAAUCUUCUUCCCUUGUGCAAAUAACACCUCCUUGCUUGCUUUUCUCGAUUUUUUGCGGGCUUUUACUCAAUAUUCGCAUUUCGGCUCAUAAAACCUACAUAAAGACAAGAAUGCACUAAUCAAUAUAUAUAAUACAAUAAUAUAGGCUAAGUGCUAGACAAACAAUGUGUUAUUCGGGGCAUAAAUAUACACUUUUGAGGUCCGAUCAACCCUUCAACAAUUGUCGCUUGUGUAGUUCUUCCAUGGCUCUUUCACUCAUAUGCCCUAGCCUCAAGUGCCAAAGCUGAGUGUGAUCUUCUUGUGUAGAAACUGCAGCUCCACCAAUUACUGUAUUUCCUAAAAGCUUGUAUAAAUUGUUAGAAAGUCUUACUCCUCUCAUAACCACAAGUGAACCCUUUGAGACUAUGAGAUUCCCAUCUUUGGAUUUGUAUGUGUACCCAUUCUUAUCCAAAUAACCCAGGGAAAUAAAAUUCUUCCUUAGUACAGGAACGUAUUUUACGUUACCCAGAGUCCUAACAAUUCCAUCAUGCAUCUUCAACUUUACCGUACCAAUUCUACAAACUUUACAACUGGAAUUAUUCCCCAUAAAAACUACGUCGCCUUUUCUUUUCUCAAACGUGUCAAACCAGUCUUCGUUUGAACACAUAUGAUAAGAAGCGCCACAAUCUAAAAUCCAAGGCGAAGAAAUAUCAUUACCUGAAGAAGUCGCCAAAAUUUCUCCGUCGCUAUCAUCUGUAACAACGCUGGCUGAAUUUGAAUUUUCGGCAUUCUUCUUCUUUUCCUUAUAUUUCUUACAAUCUCGUUUCCAGUGGUCUGUCACACCACAUUCAAAGCAACCUUCUUUAUCCCUGGAUUUAGAUCUUCCCCUGCCUUUUGAUUUGCUACUUCUCUUAUUUGUUCGGCCUCUCUCAUUAGAAUUAUUGACAUAUAGUCCUUCUGCUUGAGAGUCUUCACCUGUGUUCUUAUUCAUCUUCACAUGAGAAAUUAUAUCUUGAACAACUUCAUCAUACUUUAAAGUAUCCUUGCUGAACAUCAAUGUGGUCCUGAAGUGCUUGAAAGAUGGAGGCAAAGAUCUGAGCAGGUACAGAGACUUGUCUUCAUCGUCAUACUUCACAUCCACCCGUAGCAAAUUUGUGAUGCACUUAUUGAACACGUUUAGAUGUUCCAUAAGAUCACCACCUUCUUCCAUCCGAAGAUUCAAGAGUUCAUCUUUCAAGAAAAGUUUAUUUGAUAAAUACUUACCCAUAUACAACUUCUCAAGCUUUUCCCACGUUCCUUUGGCACAAGUUUCCUCCAUCACAUUAAACAUCACCUCGUCCGAGAUAUGUAGUUCGAUGGAACUCAUGGCUUUGAGAUCUGCUUUGUUCCACUCGUCAUCUGACAUGUCCUUUGGCUUCUUGUCUUUCCCGUCAAGAACCACAUGAAGAUCUUGUUGGAUCAAAACGUUUCUCAUCUUCCUUUGCCAUAGUGUAAAGUUAUCUCUACCGUCAAACGGUUUAAUCUCAACUUUUACACCGCCGCCAAGAGUAGUAACCGAUGGUUUCUUACCGUCACUAUUUGUAGGAAUACCUAUAGUCUCCGUCAUCUUUGACAAAACCUUAAAUCCAACCUAAGCUCUUGAUACCACUUGUUGAACUAUAUGCAGUGAUUAAUUAAAUCCUAACAACCCGCAACCUAGAUAUUCGUGAGAACACCUCCUUUGCAAUACAUGAUCCGUUUUGUCAAUGAAGUCAAAGAUUACCAAACAAUAAACAAUAGUAUAAGAAGAACAAAACAAUAAAGAACAAUAACACCAAGAUAUACGUGGUUCGGCAAUGCCUACCUCCACGGGGAACAAUGAGAAGAUUUCACUAUAAGGAAAAAAACACCGAUUACAAUAAUCUCCCUAGUAUCUUUCUCAAGAUCUUAAUCUCUCACCUUAAACUCAAUACACCUUUGCCUCCCAAAGUUCUCUCUCUUUUACUCUAUCAAUCACUAUGUUUCUAUUGUUUUCUACUCUUUUGUCUUGCCUUAUUGUCUUGUCUUACAAAUACCAAGUUACUUGGGUAUUUAUAGCCCAUGGAUAGAAAUCAAAUCCAUAUAGAAUUACUAAUUCAAACUAGAGAUAAAUAGGAAACCGAGUCCAAAUAGAACUCCUGCACAUAUUUGGUUUCCUUAAUCAAUAUAGAAAACUGAUCCUAUGGAUCACACCUCUUAUAAGGUAUGAUCCUGUGCACCCAACUAUGGCGAGCCAAUAUACAACAAAUGGAAGGGUGAAGUCUAAGUGUUUCUUUAAAUAUGGCUUGUAGAUAUGGAAAAUCUUUAAUAUCUUAUUCCUUCACCAGCCUAUUUUCCUCUACAACUAAAUCUAUUUCUUCUAUGGUUUUUUCCAAAAUAGUUGGAUAAUUAAUGAGUUCAGACAUUGCCCAUUCCACAACAAUCCCAGAUGUAUCAGUUCCUGUUGUAAGCAAAUCCUACAAAAUAAAGUGAAUUAAGAUUAGGAGACUUGAGAGUGCAUGAAUAUGUAAAAUAAGUAUGAACACGUGUAUAUGGCGUAUAUGAUGAUGGCCAUGAAGAUAAGUAACUUACAAACAUGAAACCCUUAAUAUUUUCUCUUGUCAAACAAAUUUUGGAUUCCUCAUCCUCCAGUAUAUCCAGCAAGAUAUUACAGAACCCAUAUUAUUUUUCUCCUUGUUCUCAUUUCUAACUUCUUCGCGCUUCUUCAUAAUUGUUUCAAUUAAAGCAUCAUAUCUCAAGUGAAUGUUCUUUGCUCUCUUUCGAAUUCCUUGCAAAUCAAUAUUUCUCAGAAAUCCAAUGAAAUAUGAUGAAUUGAACUGUGCAAGAAUCUCCGUGGAAUCUCGAACCAAACUUCUAAUUUCCUUAGCCUGCUCAUCCUCCUUAGAACACCUAUGUUCCACAUCAUUCGUGAAAUUAUAUUAUUUGAUACCUUGGUCACUUCUUGGGAUAAAUUUACAACAGUCCUAGUUUUUGCUUUGUUCAAAUGAAAAUGUAUCAACUGUGAGGCCUCAUCAAAUCGAAUGUCUUUUAAUUGUGCGAGUGUUUGAUCACCAAGUAGUUCAGAAGUGACAAUUUUUUUCAUAAACUUCCAAUAAGGACCAUAAGGAGCAAAACCAAAACCAGCGGAGUUAUAAGUAAGAAGAUUGAUCGCAAUAUUAAUCGGACGUGAAGCAAAGGUGCGUUCGUUGGUAAUGAGGAGUUCUUUUGCAAGCGCAGGAGUAGAAGCGAUUUAUGCAAAGGACUGAACCAAGGCAAAGAUGGAUCAAGGGACCAUAACGGGUGCAAAGAUUGUGAAAGGUUUGGUGAGGGGUGUUGUUAAGGAGGUGAAGGUGCCCAAUGAUUGGUAGUUCCUUGGGACUUGGUGGGAGUAGGGUAAGGCGUUUUGGGGUUUUUGGGGACCAAAACUUUUACCUAAAACCGCAGAUAGGACGAAGAUGAUGAUGGAAAAUAGUACUUUAAAAAUCAUGAUUUGAAGAGUGAGGAGAUGAAUGACCAACCUUGUAAAGUUUGGCCUACUACGACGCUACUUAUACAAAUUAUGGGUAGAUUACAAUUACUGUAUGUUGAAAUAUAUUUAUUUUCUGUUCUAACUGAUUAGUAUAAUAUUUCUUUAGUAUAGUUUGAUGUCAUUUGCAUGUAGUUAGUUAUUAAUGAAAGGAUAUGUAGUUGGUUAUGAGUGUAACAUCUUGUUUCUAAAGCAGUAACGUGUUCAUUUGUGAAGUGAUCUUAUGGUUCACUUAGAUUAAAAAGUUUCUUGUCGUUAUAACCAUUUCAAAUCCGGGGAAUUUUGACUUAACCCCUCUAUUUUGUCCACGUUUUGAAUAACCCCCCCCCCCCAUUUGUCCAAGUUUGGACUUUACCCCCCCUCCGUCAGUUUUCAUCCAAGUUAACGCCUAUUUGCAUUUUUUCUUCCUAAAAUAUCCCUCACUCCUUCUUAGAUUUAACCCCCCAAAAGAACAAGGGAGGGGUAUUUUAGAAAGAAAAAUAUAUAUAGGUGUUAACUUAGACGGGAGGUGACAAAGAGGGGGUAAAGUCAAAACUUGAAUAAAUGGGAGGGUUUAUUCAAAACGUGGACAAAAUAGGGGGGUUUAAGUCUAAUUUUUCCUUCAAAUCCUCAUUGAUUAUUUUUGCAAAAAUGAAAAAGACUAGACUAUACUUGUCCGCUACUACAAGUAAUUUUUUCUUGUGGUACUAACUUUGAAGUACAGCUAAUAGUUAAUGAUCAAAGCAAAUGAGUGUACAAUUGAUAGUUAAAGAGUUGCAUGAUUUCUCAGCUCAUUCUAAAUGGAAACAGUUAAAGAGAAACCCUGGGCUGGUUUUUUGUGAAUAGAGACCAUCCUAACAUCUUUAUUACAAAGGAGGAUCGAAUUCAAAUUUUGAUGUAAAUUGGCAAGAAACUAAACAGAAAAAUUAUAUAUUUUUUUUUUGAUCAAGUGUUGAAAUUUUAUAAAUAAAACCAAACCAGUACAAACACCCACUGGCCAGUUUGCCUUACAGAUCACUACCCAGUUAAGCCAGAGGACAUAUCCUUUUUUUUACAAAGAGCCUAAAAUUCCUACCCUCUAUUUCAGCACAUAAGCAUAUCAGUUCUGAAGUGGGUAUCAUCCUCCAUUAGCCAUAGUUUUCUGCCAGUUGAAUAACAGUUUUGCAAAUCUAAUUUGUUCCCUGAGUUCAAGAGCUUUCUUGUCCAUGUUCAUCCACAGCCACACAGUCCCCUUAAUUUUUUUAAUUUCCUUAUCCACCACAACAUCCUGAUCUCUGAAAAUUACAUUAUUUCGAAGGUUCCAAAGGCACCAGACCACUGCAUAAGGUAAUACCGCCCACAUCCUUGCGUGGAUGCUAUCACCCUGCUUGGCAGGCCACUGUGUCAUGGCUAGUUUCAGAGAAGACCAGUCUGGAAUCUUACUGUUCACUGUGCUGUUGAAAUCUACCAAUUCAGUCCAUAUUUGCUUCGCCACCCUGCACUUGAAAAAUAUAUGUUCAAUGUUCUCUUCCGCACAUUUGCACAAAGCACAUCUAUUUGCCAACAUAAAACCUCUCCUUUGUAGUUUAUCCACCGUAAGGAUUCUAUCCCAAUGUAAGCUCCAUACAAAGAACUUGACUUUUGUCGGAAUACGUGGCUCCCAAGUGUAUUUAUAUGGAAACGAUAUCGCUUCCACAUCCCUAGUGCACACCCUCGACACCAAGUAGCGAUAGCAAGAUUUCACUAUGAAGAGUUUGUUUUUCUUCCAUUUCCACUCCCAUUCAUCCUCCUCAUCCACUAGAACCACAUCGCCAAUCAAUUGCAUAAGCAAAUCGAGUUAAUCUUGUUCACUUUGACGAAAAAGCGUUCUCCUAAGGUGGAGAAGCCAAUCACCAUCGUCACCCUUAUGAUCUUUUACGGUGCCCUCCUUCAUAGAUGCAUAUCUAUAGAUUCUAGGGAAUUUCCUAUUGAAGGGCACCUCUCCUAACCAUGUAUCUUGCCAAAACCUUAUUCGGUCACCCCUUUUCACAACUUUGGUAAUCCCUUCAAAAAACUCUUCUUGAGCUACUUGAAUGCCUCGCCAUAAGCUACAUCCAUGUGGUUGUGUGGCUUUCCUCGGUUCGCCGCCAUUGUCACAAUGUCCAUAUUUUGCAUCAAUCACUUUCCUCCACAAGGCGUCCUUCUCUUUGCCAUAUCUCCAAAUCCAUUUAGAAAGUAAAGCUUGAUUCAUAAAACUCGUCUUUCGAAUACCAAGCCCCCCUUCAUUCAUCGGAGAACAUACUACAUCCCAAGACACAAGAUGGAUUUUUCUUUUCUCUUCCUUGGUUCCCCAAAGAAAGUCUCUAACAAUUUUAUCAAUUUGUUAGCUAUACUCUUCGGGAUAGUGAGGAGGGAUAGAUGAUAAAUUGCAAGGCUCGCCAAUGUACUUUUAGCAAGAAUAAGUCUAUCUCCUUUGGAUAAUAGCUUCCUACCCCAUCCAUUGAGCCGCCUUUGGAACGAUUCAAUAACCGGGGUCCACACUUCCACACUUUUAUACUUAGCCCCAAGUGGUAGUCCUAAGUAUUUAGUGGGAAGUUUCCCGACUCCACACCCGAGCAAAUUUGCCAAGCCAUUCACAUUAGGAACCUCACCCACCUCGAAUAUAGAUGACUUAGAAUAGUUGAGCUUCAAACCCGAAAUUCCUUCGAAAAUAAACAAAAUUGCUUUGAUGGUGAGAAUUGCUUGAGUUGUGGCUUCAACAAGAAAAAUGGUAUCAUCCGCAAAUUGGAUUACUCCCACCUUGACCUCUCUAUUCCCAACAUAGAAACCAUCAAACCAACCAUUUCGCAUGCAUUUGAGUGUGAGUCGAGUCAGAGCCUCCAUUACUAAGAUGAAAAGGAAUGGUGACAACGGGUCACCUUGCCUCAACCCCUUUUGUGAUUUGAAAUUCCCCUCGGGGAUCCCAUCUAUCAUGAUAGAGAACCUAGGAAUCGAGAUACAUUUGUGCACCCACUUCCUCCACUUUAACCCAAAUUCCAUCCUUCCUAGAAUGUAGUCAAGGAAUCCCCAAUUAACAUGAUCAUACGCCUUUGAAAUGUCCACCUUACACACAAUCCCCGGAUUACCUUGUCUAAGCCUCGAAUCAAUGCACUCAUUAGCAAUGAGCAUACUAUCACUUGUCCUCCAUGAAGGCACCUUGGUUGCAACUUGCAAGACACCACACAAUGUAGUACUCUCUUCAAUCUUGAAGCCAUCAUCUUUGAUAUAAUCUUGUACACCCCACCUAUAAGACUUAUAGGCCUAUAAUCAUUAAGAGAAAGUAUACCUUCUCUUUUAGGCACCAAAGUGAUGUGAGUCGUAUUAUUCCGCCAAUCAAGAAAACCGGUCUUUUAGAAACUCCUUCACCACUCCCAUAAUGUCAUCCUUAAAGAUAUUCCAAAAAGUUUUGUAAAACGUCAUUGGAAACCCAUCCGGUCCCGACGCUUUCUCCCCAUCCAUGGCAUUUAGAGCUUGUACUACCUCUUCCACAUCAAAAUCUUUCUCCAUAUCCCCACUACUUGCUUCAUCAAGAGUGUCAAAAUGCAUCCCAUCUAGCUUGGGCCUAUGUUUAACCUCUUCUUUGAAUAGGUUCUCAUAGAAGCUAGUCACAUGUUUCUUUAUCAACUCCCCGUCUCUAGAGAAAUUAUAUUCUUCAGCUUUAGAAGUAAUCAGACAAGGUGAAACUAGCAGAAAUUGCAGUUAACGGUUAACCUCAUCUAUUACUAUACUAUGAUAUAUUGCUACAAUAUUAAAUCAAAACAAAAAUACUCAUAAUGCUUCCUGCAUGUUUAUUUGUUUCUUAAACAAGAGUGUUUGAAAAUAAUGAAAUUUUACAUGUAUUUGGCUGCAGUAUUACACAAGAGCUGCCACCAUGCUUUGCAAAACCAGCCUAGUCAAGUAAAAUUUGCGCAGUAGACUGUCGUACACUCAGACUCAGUGCUACCCAAGUGAGAAAAUAAUUGUUGACUCGACUCAUUACUGGAUUGAAUUGGUUCUUUCAAUGCAUUCAUCUAGCUAUUCAAGAGUUAUGCACAAAGAGCUGCUAUCAUUUUGCUCCCCAAAAGGUAAGUUUCACCAAACUUAUGCACACACAUACCAACCAUGUGCUGUCAGGUUGUGUGGUUUCUUUUAUUUGUUCUCCGCUGCUGUUUGGUAAACCCUUGAAUUUGGGGGUAUUGCUAAAUACUCCUUAAAUAUAGGACAGUAACCAUGACCAAACUGCACCUUGAACAAUUUUAUGGCUCGGCAUAUCCUUUAAUUAACCACUCCAACUCUUAAUAUUCACAUGUUCAGUUUGACAUUUUAUGAGAGCAAUUUAUGUGAAAUAACAGAUAGGUGUCUAGAACAAGUUCAUCUUCAUCUGUGUGAUUAAUAGGUAGGUGUCUACGCAGUACUAUUCUUAAAUGUAGGUUGUUUAGCUUUGUUGGCUGCAUCCAAACCAUCCGAUGGGACUGGUGGUGAUAUGACCAUUGCAGGGUUGUAUGAGAAAACCGGGGUAACACUGAAUAAAAGGGUCAAGUAUGGGUGCACGGUCGAAAGUGCAAGCCGACAUCUCCUGGCACAAGGUUAAUGGGCUUUGGCUCAAAUCAGCUGUUUAGAUCAGGAAUCUUGUGUUUCACAGUUGCAGGCGGUGGGGAUUAGUUGGGAAAAGAAAAAGGCCCAGAACUGUUGCAGAUGGGCGACUCUGCAAGUCUGCAACUGCAUUGCCCUGUAAGCUGUAAGAAGUAACACUGGCGACAAAUGCACACACAGACCUCAUUCUUGAGAAAGAUAUUGAGUGAUCAUAAGUCAUAACUCUUGUUCUGUUGUUUGGCAUAUUGGUCCAGUGAUGUCUGGAAAUUAAUUGAAUUUGUGUUAUCUGUUCAGGACUUCAGGCAUCAUAUUGAAUUGAGCUAACACCUUAAAUGAAUUUCUUUUGAUGUUAUGUGGUUAAAAUGUUAAUUAAAUUGAUCUGAAGAAAUGCAGGACGUGUACAUAUUAUAUGCCUUUCAUGGUUUGUGGGGUGAGUUAAUAUUUCUGAAUGCUCCACGUGAUAUUAUUAUGUAUUGGGAUUUGGAUUCUGAAGGACCAUUUUUUAUGGUGGUAGUUAGGUAGUAGGAAGACCAGUUUUUUUUUUGUUUUUUUUUUCCUUUGAUACCACGAAUAACCAGGAAGAACAGUUACAAAUCUAGUUGUUGAUU